rnacentral:rRNA from 1 species
AUGCAUGUCUCAGUACAAGCCGUCCCGUACGGUGAAACCGCGAAAGGCUCAUUAAAUCAGUUAUGGUUCCUUAGAUCGUACCCACGUUACAUGGAUAACUGUGGUAAUUCUAGAGCUAAUACAUGCCGACAGAGCUCCGACCAGCACGUCGUUCGGCGGUUCGCCGUCGCUCGGCUGUUCGGAAGGAGCGCUUUUAUUAGAUCAAAACCGGCCAAGCGCCUCGUUCGCGCUUCGGCGCGACGGGUGUAAGUGGCCCGCGCAAAGACUUGACGACUCUGAAUAACUUUUAGCUGAUCGUACGGUCCUAGUACCGACGACGUAUCUUUCAAAUGUCUGCCUUAUCAACUGUCGACGGUAGGUUCUACGCCUACCGUGGUGGUAACGGGUAACGGGGAAUCAGGGUUCGAUUCCGGAGAGGGAGCCUGAGAAACGGCUACCACAUCCAAGGAAGGCAGCAGGCACGCAAAUUAUCCACUCCCAGUUCGG